GUUCUAUCCAGAGCGCGUGAGGGAACUGGCCCGAAGACACGCGCAGCAACCGGCCCUCAUCACGGCACGGUGCUUUCCAGCCCCCGGGCAAGCCGACGAUGGCCGAUUCGAGGGACCGAUGGAGC
rnacentral:ncRNA from 1 species